UACGAAGGGAGCUAGCGUUGUUCGGAAUCACUGGGCGUAAAGCGCACGUAGGCGGAUGUGUCAGUCAGGGGUGAAAUCCCGGAGCUCAACUUCGGAACUGCCUUUGAUACAGCACGUCUUGAGUCCGAUAGAGGUGGGUGGAAUUCCUAGUGUAGAGGUGAAGUUCGUAGAUAUUAGGAAGAACACCGGUGGCGAAGGCGGCCCACUGGAUCGGUACUGACGCUGAGGUGCGAAAGCGUGGGGAGCAAACAGG
rnacentral:rRNA from 1 species